CUCUUUGGAGAGUACAAUACAACAGAAUCGAUCAGGGCUAUCCUUUGGACCAAUUUAAAGUCAAAAGAGAAUCUGUCUCUGAAAAAUACAUUGCUGUUUGGGAAAAGCUGGUUUUGAAGAAGACAGCCUGCGUUUUACCUGCCCAUGAUGACAGUGAGAUUCUGUCAUAGCAGAGGACCUAAGGACUGGCUGAGUACAAUGACUCCCGCAAGGAUUCCCAAAACCAGGAAGAUGAGGCAUUUGAGCACAAGGUACAGUGUGUUUUUUCUUUCUUGGCCUGUUUUACCCUCAACUAGAAAAUCUUAUCAACUACUAUUUAAUUCCUCCUACUUUAUGCAAGCACAGCCCUUGAGAUGCAUAAUUUAUGUGGGACACUCAGUCGGCUUUAAACACCGACAGGUAUCAUUAUUAUAUUGUAAUUUGGCAUCAUCACUCCAUGCCUGACGCCUUUCUUGGAGAACUCAUAGUGUCAGGGGAGCAGGAAGGGAGUUUUCGGCAAGGUCCCAGACACCUACCAUCUCUUCCUCUCGCUCCACAACUCCUCUCGUUGCCUCUGCCGGCCUUGGGCCCUCUCGGCCCUCAUGCCUCGGGAUUGAUUCGGCACUCUCUGACACCAGGCAGCCCUAAACCAAGAAAGGACCCCUCUUUGUUGCUUGUUUUCUAGCUCCUCAGAGUCACUUUUGCGGGUAUUUUAUUUUGGCGGGAUGAUCAGGUACGCAGUCACAAAUCAAAGACCAAUUUUUUUCCUGGCUUUUUUUUUUGAAAUUAGAAGCUGUGUCUGUCAUCUUCAUCAAGGGCGGGUUUACUGGCGGGAGGUCUGACAGAAAGGAGGGGCUACCGGGAUACUGGACUGGUCUAAAGCUCCAAACUGGUCCACGGCUGAUCCGUAUUUUGGACGAUCUGCUGAUCGUUGUUUCAUUUCUAAUUUAUGAAACAUUUCAUUAAUCCUCAAUCUGUCAGCUCCGCUUGAUAAUACUGCAGCCUGGCAGUCACAGGAUUAAUAUUUAUUAAAUACCUUCCACUGUAUAAGGCAAGGAAAUGCUUGGCUCAUCUCCGCAGCACAAUCUCUCGCUCCUUAACCGGCUACGGCAUUUUCCCUUUUCAUUUUUGGAAAAGUAAACAAACAAACAAAGGAAUUCAGAAAUCAGACGGCCAGACAUCUAUCUCUAGGCAGAACCAUCAGGAUGCAGACCUGAGGAGGAUUGCCAUUCCUAGUAAGAAAGGUAUCCCCUGCUCCCCCCAGCCCCCACUCUGAAGCAUCUGUUUUUGUGCUCUUCUUCCUCAUCUUCUCCCCCACCUUUUCAGCUUUAUAAAUAAUUCAUAGGCUGAUAAAUAUGCAAUUUCAAAAAGUGCAGACAUGGCAGCACUGCAUAAAAAAAAAAAAAGACGCUUGUGCUUCUCACACAGAAGUCCUGAGCCGCACUUAACGGAUGACAAAUUUUCCAGUAUUCAAAGGCUGUAUUAUAUAUAUGAUAGGAGUGUGACUGUAUUUCUGGUCUGAUACCUUGCUAGACAUGUUGUGAAUUGUCUGAGGAAGGUUGUAACACACAGCACAUAAACAUUUUGUUCAAAAAUGAAGUUAGCUGUGUUUAAAGUUGGGCUUGCCCUAAGCUUUUUUGCCUGGCAAUUCUUGAAAUUUUUGAACAAACAAUUUAGAGAGAUUUCCACAUUUGCUCCGUGAGGCCCCGAGUUCAGAGAGGGGCAGGUAUUGCGUGUCCCGUAAUUCUCUGGUGAUAACACCAUAAAGGUCUCAAUCUUUGAAGGAUUCCCUUAAGCAACAGCCAUUUAUUUGACAUCCCGGGAACAUCCUUCAGCGUCCGAUUUAACUAGAUCAACAGCAAGCUGUUCGGUCUGCUCUUUCACACAGGUAGCCACCCCCGCAACAAACAGCAUAUGUGUAGACAUCCAUAUAUAAAUAUAGAUAUAUAUAUGGCAAAGCAGCAUUCCUCCAUUUUGUGACCUAAUUGCUUGAUUACCAGACUGAAACAAAAUGGAGGAAAGACUUUUUAAGCAGCUCAGGGGCUGACAUGACAGAAGAGAAAAAUUAUUGGAGAAAAAUGGUGCUUAAAGAACAUUAGGCAUAUAAUCACAUCAAUAUUAAAUGGAAUGUAAUAAAUAUAGAUUGCACGUGUAUUUAUAUAGUGUAUAAGGAGAUAACCGAGCUUGUGCACGGAACACAUGGGCAGCCAGCUAGACUAGCUCGGCGCUAGAGUCAAAUACUGAAAAUUUUGCAAAAGGAUUUUGGAUUUGGGUCCAUCCAAUGUAGCCUUUUAGGUGAGCACCUAAAUUGGAAACACCCCGGGUAAGAAAUAGACCGCAGCAUUUAAUUUGGGUGGACUACUUGGGAGCCUGUAUUUACUGUACAAUAAUUUCAAAUUUAAUUAAGUCACACUCCUGAUGCCAGUCGCUGCGACACAGUAAAGGUGAUUAAUUGCACACUUAAAUGAAAUAUAAACAGCCUUAAAAGGAACAUCAACUGCACACCCUGCAAAGAGCAGCCACUCUGAUGGAGUCAGGCUGGGCGGGGUGGGGGGGAGGGAAAGGGA